GGGCGGGAGGGGGGAGGCGGCGCAUGGCAUAGAAAGAGUGCAAGAGAGAUGCUGGUCAGUUCUGAGAUGGUGCAGGAAUGACAAGGCACCUGAACAUCGCAAGUCCACGGUCAUCCCUGGAGGUCUCGGGUUUUCAGUCAUGCCUGAGCAGUGAAUGGGUGCACACUCAUAAACACACCACCGUUUAUUCUUCAGCUCCCAAGGCGAAUGAUUAUUCCACAGUAACAUGGGGACAAGAGACUCUGAAUCCACGCAGAAACAGCCAAGGUCCUUCAGAGGUGUAGAUUUCUACUCAUAAGCUAAUCCACGUAAAACAAACAGGAAACAGAAAUACAAAGUGGAAAAGCAGAUGGGACAAUCCCACAGAAAGCUAAUAUCUACCUUUCCAAUAUAUAUGAAAGCUGAGGAGGGAUGUCUGCUCAGUGACGAGUGUCUUGAAUGUAUCAUACAGUCAUCUCAACCCUGUCCCAACCCCAGUGAUGGAUGGGGGCUGGUAAGAAGGUAUGGACUCCCUACCCCAUGCUCCUCAUGCACUGCCAGGCAUCCAAACAACUGCGGAAGAGGCCCUCUAGGCUCCUGCUUCAAUGGCUUCUGUUCAUUUGAGAUCUGACAGAUGGACCCUCAUCAGUAGUCUCCUCAAAACAUGGUCAAAUUGACACAUAUGCAGGAGAGAGAACAGUGGUGAGCAAGCUUAAAGCACUGAGAAAUCAAGGACAAGAAGAACAGUCUGUGUCUCACAUGUGCAUUUUUAACACAGAGAUGCUUCCUCUGUCAAGCAGGUCUACACGUGUUCUUCUGGAAUCUCUUAGGAGCGCUUUGAAAGGAAAGCUAUUCCAUGCUUUAACUCUCAGUUGUUGAGUUGUAUCUUCAAAAUUUACAAUUGACUUGUUGAAUUGACCUCCCUGUAA